UAAUGCAGUGUGAAUACCCUGAAAAUCCAGAAUUUUCGCAAGAGGACAAUUUGAAUUUGCUCGGCGAGUUACUUUGGCAUCGAGUAAUGCUGCUCAUUAACUAUGCCCUUGUAGCCGAGCUGCACCAAUCACAUCGGGGUAUCUGAUGUAGGUGGGUCAGAGGCGAGCUAAACAGAUGACAACAGUUUAAUCUACCAGUUAGCUCCG